UCAGUAACCUAUGACUCAAGCUGAUCACAGACUCAAAUAUAAUGUACCUUGUGGAUGAGCAAGAAGUAAAAAUAGUGUAAGCAUUUCAUCUUGGCCGGGAAAUAGAUAUGAAUGUUCAUGGAAGAAUGAACAAAGGAAGAGGCUUGCAGGUUGGGUCAAUUAAUUCUCUCUCUGGAAUUUUGAACUGAGAUUCACAGAGAAGCUGUUGUGAAGGAGCCAUGGAUAGCUGGAGGCUCUACCAUGACGUCUUCCAGGGUCUUCCUAGUUAAAGCCUGGACUGAAAACAAGUAAGAAGCACUUUUUGGGUUCGUUCAGUUUUGAGGUAACAAUAAACUCAUCUUCAGACUGCCUGUGACCUUUUCAUAAUGACACCAGAAAUAUGAAUAGGACAUAUUUUAAAACUAGCUUAUC
rnacentral:lncRNA from 1 species